AAAUGAAUUGACGGGGGCCCGCACAAGCGGAGGAACAUGUGGUUUAAUUCGAUGAUACGCGAGGAACCUUACCUGGGCUUAAAUGAUUAGCGCAAGAUUUGGAAACAUUUUUUUCUUCGGACGCUUUUCAAGGUGCUGCAUGGUUGUCGUCAGCUCGUGCCGUGAGGUGUCGGGUUAAGUCCCAUAACGAGCGCAACCCCUGUUGCCAGUUGCCAUCACUUUUAGGUGGGGACUCUGUCAAGACUGCCGGUGUAAACCGUGAGGAAGGUGGGGAUGACGUCAAAUCAGCACGGCCCUUAUGUCCAGGGCUACACACGUGUUACAAUGGCCGGUACAAAGGGUCGCUACCCUGCGAAGGGAUGCCAAUCUUUAAAUCCGGUCUCAGUUCGGAUCGGAGUCUGCAACCCGACUCCGUGAAGCAGGAUUCGCUAGUAAUCGCGCAUCAGCCAUGGCGCGGUGAAUACGUUCCCGGGCCUUGUACACACCGCCCGU
rnacentral:rRNA from 1 species